AUUGAACGCUGGCGGCAUGCCUUACACAUGCAAGUCGAACGGCAGCACGGGAGCUUGCUCCUGGUGGCGAGUGGCGAACGGGUGAGUAAUGCAUCGGAACGUGCCCUGAAGUGGGGGAUAACGUAGCGAAAGCUACGCUAAUACCGCAUAUUCUGUGAGCAGGAAAGCAGGGGAUCUUCGGACCUUGCGCUUUUGGAGCGGCCGAUGUCGGAUUAGCUAGUUGGUGGGGUAAAGGCCCACCAAGGCGACGAUCCGUAGCGGGUCUGAGAGGAUGAUCCGCCACACUGGAACUGAGACACGGUCCAGACUCCUACGGGAGGCAGCAGUGGGGAAUUUUGGACAAUGGGCGCAAGCCUGAUCCAGCCAUGCCGCGUGAGUGAAGAAGGCUUUCGGGUUGUAAAGCCCUUUUGGCAGGGACGAUGAUGACGGUACCUGCAGAAUAAGCUCUGGCUAACUUCGUGCCAGCAGCCGCGGUAAU
rnacentral:rRNA from 1 species